rnacentral:tRNA from 1 species
GGCCGUUUAGCUUAAUGGUAUAGUACUCAGCUGGUAUCUGAGGGGUAAAUGGUUCUAGUCCUGUAGCUAUCU